GUCGCACCGCUCCACCCAUCACAGCAGAUACACGCCAUGGCAUUCCAGGUUGUGCUCUUGUGCGCCUUGCUGGGCGCAGCCAGCGCCGGCUACCUGGGCGCGCCCGCCGUCUCCUACUCGGCGGCGCCAGCGCUGCGGGGCUACGGGGCAGCAGGUCUAGCAGGCCUGCCCGGGUACGCGGGCGCCCUGGCGCCGGCCGCGGCCGCAGCGCUGUCGCCCGCCGCCAGAGCCGCCGCAGCCGCC
rnacentral:lncRNA from 1 species